rnacentral:ncRNA from 1 species
CGGAGAGGCUUUGACGGCGAUUAAAAGGGAAUCAGGUGAGAGGCCUGGACAGACCCGCUACUGUAUGUUCCAUAUCAACCGACCGGGCACAAUCAUAGUGUCACUGACCGCGAUGGCGGUCGGGAAGGCAGUCCGGGAGGGGAACGAGUCAGGAGACCUGCCAUGUGACUUG